rnacentral:misc_RNA from 1 species
UAGUGGUUGCACUGACUCUUGCAAUUACAUAGGAGCUUACAAUUCGAACAAAUGCUUGAAGAACUGUGCAAAGCCUUCUCAGACUUUGUACCAUGUACCCCGUUCUUGGGUGAAAUCAAGUGGCAACACCCUUGUAUUGUUUGAGGAAGUCGGUGGGGAUCCAACAAAGAUAGGUUUUGCUAUAAGAAAGGUUGGAAGUUUGUGCUCUCAUGUGUCGGAGUCCCACCCAUUACCUGUAGAUAUGUG